UGAUGAAAGAGAAACGGAGGUUUGGGUAGCUCGGUUCACGCAGGGACACUCUCUUGUCGCUGAUUUUUAAGGGAAGACAUUUUCGGGCAUGCAGGCAGUAAGCCAGUCGGUAAGAUUGCUCUGGAGGAGACUCGGAUCCGCCAGGCUCUGGGGACGCGGGAUUAAUGGGAGCGCGUCUCCUGGUGCCAAGAGCUGCAGGACUCUUGCCAUGGAGGGCACUCGUAAGGGAAGAGAGGGGCUGCCGACCACAAAAGGCUUGGCAUCGAAACACCUCGACACCGGCCGCACGUAAACAGCUCCCCAUUUACCAAUCCGCAAGCUUUUUUUUCUUUUCCCAUUACAUUGCACUACAUUUAUUACAUGUAUUGCCUUAUUGAAACAUCUUAAUUUAUACUUCUGUUUUGUGUUUAAUUUUAAAUUACCGUUGGACGUGCAGAGUAAGAUUUUCACUGCAUGGUGUAGCUGCCUGUUUACUAUAAACAGAGUGUAGUGACUGUUUGUGACCAAUAGCGGGCCCCCAAAGUUCGGCGGCCCCACCGAAAAGCGCAUUUUCGCAACCGGUUUUUUUUUGUUGCAGAAGCAGUUUAAACUGUCGUGGCCCCAUGUCAAGUUAGCGGGUUGUGGGGGAAGCUGUAUCCCAUCCCAGGCAGUACAAGGCACAAAACUGGGGUAUACCCUGGAGGAGGAAGGGACAUCCAGGAAGUGACAUCACCAUGCCGGCUUGUCAGGAAGUCUAUUUCAUUGACCGCCCAUCUGGCUCUGCCGAGGUGACACGCAACGGUGGGUCGGACAGGACCAGUGCCGCGUGACUACUGGGGAUUAUGUACCAGCAUCUUCUCAUCCUCUCUGGGUCAGGUGUCAUUAGCGGUCGCAGGUUUAAAAACAGAACAAUUAUGCUGAACGCUUCGCCGGCUGCCUGUGUGGCAGGGUUGUGUGAAUGAAGAGGAAGGACAAUUUGAUGAGCACGGUGGCGACUGAAUGUUCCUGCUGGCCUAUUAGAGGGAUCGAGGAACACGGACAGAGACGACUUGAGUCUUCUGCAGCAGUCUGGCUUUGUCAUGACCUGCUCGUCUGAUCCUCCUGUGUGCCACGCCCCCUUGUUACCUCGUGUGGAAUCCCAGUGUUUUCAGCUGUGUCUAGUUGUUGUUAAUCAGUUCUGGUAUUUAAUGCUUCCGCGUCUGUCUUACCCCUGCCCUGUCAUUGGUGUCCGUGCUUGCAUUGUGUCCUGUGUUUUGGUAUUUUUCCUGAAUA